rnacentral:rRNA from 1 species
UACGGAGGGUGCAAGCGUUAUCCGGAUUCACUGGGUUUAAAGGGCGCGUAGGCGGUCCGAUAAGUCCCGUGUGAAAGCCCCCGGCUCAACUGGGGAACUGCACGGGAAACUGACGGACUUGAGUUCGGGAGAGGGAAGCGGAAUUCCGGGUGUAGCGGUGAAAUGCGUAGAUAUCCGGAGGAACACCGGUGGCGAAGGCGGCUUCCUGGACCGACACUGACGCUGAGGCGCGAAAGCUAGGGGAGCAAACGGG